AGUGAUCGCUGGCGGUAGGCCUAACACAUGCAAGUCGAACGGCAGCACAGUAAGAGCUUGCUCUUACGGGUGGCGAGUGGCGGACGGGUGAGGAAUACAUCGGAAUCUACUUUUUCGUGGGGGACAACGUAGGGAAACUUACGCUAAUACCGCAUACGACCUACGGGUGAAAGCAGGGGAUCUUCGGACCUUGCGCGAUUGAAUGAGCCGAUGUCGGAUUAGCUAGUUGGCGGGGUAAAGGCCCACCAAGGCGACGAUCCGUAGCUGGUCUGAGAGGAUGAUCAGCCACACUGGAACUGAGACACGGUCCAGACUCCUACGGGAGGCAGCAGUGGGGAAUAUUGGACAAUGGGCGCAAGCCUGAUCCAGCCAUACCGCGUGGGUGAAGAAGGCCUUCGGGUUGUAAAGCCCUUUUGUUGGGAAAGAAAAGCAGCAGGUUAAUACCCCGCUGUUCUGACGGUACCCAAAGAAUAAGCACCGGCUAACUUCGUG
rnacentral:rRNA from 1 species